rnacentral:rRNA from 1 species
GCCCUUAUUGGUGCCAGCCGCCGCGGUUACACCAGAGGCUCAAAUUGACCUUCAUCGGCGUAAAGCGUGGUAAGAGGCUUCCUUUAAAACUAGAGUUAAACCAAAAUUAAGCUGUGAUAACCUUAUUUUUCGGAAAUCCAAGAACGAAAGUCACUCUACCCCCCCCCCCUUGAAUCCACGACAGCUGGGACACAAACUGGGAUUAGAUACCCCACUAUGCCCUGCCGUAAACUUUUAAUUACAUCCAUACCGCCAGGGAACUACGAGCAAUGCUUAAAACCCAAAGGACUUGACGGUGCCCCACAUCCGCCUAGAGGAGCCUGUCCUAGAAUCGAUGAUCCCCGUUUAACCUCACCCUUGCUUGCUACUCAGUCUGUAUACCUCCGUCGUCAGUCCACCACGUGAGUGCAACUCAGUGGGCCCAAUUGCUUAUUUAACGCUAAUACGUCAGGUCAAGGUGCAGCUUAUGCAAGGGGAAGAGAUGGGCUACACUCUCUAACUUAGAAGAUACGAAAGACUACCUAUGAAACAUAGUCUGAAGGAGGAUUUAGCAGUAAGAGGGAACUAGAGUGUUCCUCUUAACACGGCUCUGGGGUGUGUACACACCGCCCGUCACCCUCUUCAAAGUAAAACAUCUAGUUUUUAACUCGCUACCACUAUAAAGAAGAGGCAAGUCGUAACAUGGUAAGCGUACCGGAAGGUGUGCUUGGAAA